GAAGUGUUCGGAUCGCGGCGACACGGGCGGUCCGCUGCCCGCGACGUUGUGAGAAGUCCACUGAACCUUAUCAUUUAGAGGAAGGAGAAGUCGUAACAAGGUUUCCGUAGGUGAACCUGCGGAAGGAUCAUUG
rnacentral:rRNA from 1 species